ACCAGCCUGCCCUGGCUUCCCGUAACUGAGACUGCAGCCUGGCCCCGCCUCCCCGCCCCAGAAGACCGAGGACGGGAGGAGGAAGGGAGGCAGCGGGAGCAAAUGUCACAGACCUGGAGGGACCGUCCACUGAGGAAGCAGGGACUCAGCCCCGUGGCCUGAGUGCCCAGAUCCCUACCCUGCCCUCUGCUCAGCCCAGGGCAUGGGGUCUCCACCAGGAACUUCCUCUGCACCGCGGACCCCAAGCCCCUGGCCGGGUGGGGGCCGGUCCCCGGGACUCGCUGGUUCCCUCCGCAGGGCCCCGUCCCCUCAGCGUUUCCAUUUUGCACUGUGGUGAAAUUUAGUGCGGAAACCCUUUGGAAGUUCAGUGGCAGCGAUAUGCUCACACCCCCUCACUCCCGUGCGGCCCCCAUACCUGUCUGGCCCCACAGCCCCACCGUCCCCUCCGGAAGCAGCCCCCACGCCCAUGGGCAGUGGCUCCCAUUUCCACCCCAGGCCUCCAACCGCCAGCCGGCCAGCCCGAAUUCUGUCCCCAUGCGCCACUGCCACCGGCUGUGGGUGCCGCUUGUGACCCCCUGUGCCCGAUGUUCUCCAGGCCCGUUGACAUUGUGUCUAGACAGUGACAGUCCCCUGUGUAGGCGGGCCAUACUCGCUGAUGGACAUUCAGCCUGUUUCCGCCCUUUGGCCAGUGUGAUUGGAGCUGCCACCAACGUUAAUGUCCCGCGUCGCCGACCACCCUAACCGUGUGGAGGAACACGCUUCCCCUGCCCCCAAGGUGCCUCUGGCCGGUCUGAUAUCCGAUAGACCCGAGGCAGAUCAGCAACAGGAAACAGCUAACUAUGUGCGGGAACCCCACAAACAGGGGAGCCCGAGACCCGCAGGCCGAGAGGUCCGCAGCCAGAAAGGGACCGUGGGCAGCGGAGGUCCGGGGCUAGGGAGGGGCGACACCUGCAAAGGCCUUUGCAAGAUGAUCACAGGAGCAGAGAUUUAGUGAAUGUUAAAUAAAACCGUGUUCUGCCUUAUA